UUUGGGAGGCCAAGACAGGAGGAUUGCUUGAUCCCAGGAGUUUGAGACUAACCUGGGCAACAAAGUGAGACCUGGUCUCUACAAAAA
rnacentral:miRNA from 1 species